GACGAACGCUGGCGGCGUGCCUAAUACAUGCAAGUAGAACGCUGAAGAGAGGAGCUUACUCUUCUUGGAUGAGUUGCGAACGGGUGAGUAACGCGUAGGUAACCUGCCUUGUAGCGGGGGAUAACUAUUGGAAACGAUAGCUAAUACCGCAUAACAAUGGAUGACACAUGUCAUUUAUUUGAAAGGGGCAAUUGCUCCACUACAAGAUGGACCUGCGUUGUAUUAGCUAGUAGGUGAGGUAAUGGCUCACCUAGGCGACGAUACAUAGCCGACCUGAGAGGGUGAUCGGCCACACUGGGACGGAGACACGGCCCAGACUCCUACGGGAGGCAGCAGGAGGGAAUCUUCGGCAAUGGGGGCAACCCUGACCGAGCAACGCCGCGUGAGUGAAGAAGGUUGUCGGAUCGGAAAGCUCGGUUGUAAGUCAAGAACGGGGGUGAGAGUGGAAAGUUCACACUGUGACGGUAGCUUACCAGAAAGGGACGGCUAACUACGUG
rnacentral:rRNA from 1 species